AGAGUUUGAUCAUGGCUCAGGAUCAAGCUGGCGGCGUGCCUAACACAUGCAAGUCGAACGCUCUGCGCAAGCAGGGAGUGGCGGACGGGUGAGGAACACGUGGGUAUCUGCCCUGAGGUGAGGAAUACCGGCGAGAAAUCGCCGACAAAACCGCAUAGCCUCUCUCUCAAGAGGGAGAGGAAAGUCGCAAGACGCCUGAG
rnacentral:rRNA from 1 species